GCCUCCUUUUUGUCCGAGACUCGAGACCUAGAUCCGCUCUGAAUAAAUAGUGUACCGCACCGACAAGCGCCGCCGCUCCCGAGACAGACGCGAGAAUGGCCAUCUCUUCCCCCGCCCGCCUCCACCUGCCGCCGUCCUGCCGCCGGCCGGCGGCUCUCACCAGCCUCCAAUCCGUGGACGAGUCUACGGCGGCAUGCCAGUGGCAGGGGCGUCUUCUCCCCGUGGCCGCUGCUCCGCUCCGCCUCCGCGCCGUGCGUGCCACGGCCGCUGCGCGGCAGCCAUUCGACAACGGGUCCGGCGUCAUCGAAGCGGAGGGGGAGGAGGAGGAGGACGGGCAUCCGCGGCUGAAGAUCGCCAUCGUGGGGUUCGGCAACUUCGGGCAGUUCCUGGCGCGGACGCUGGUGCGGCAGGGGCACACGGUGCUGGCGCACUCCCGCUCCGACCACUCAACCGCCGCGGCCGACCUCGGUGCGUCCUUCUACGCCGACCCGCACGACCUCUGCGAGUGCCAGCCCGACGUGGUCCUCCUCGCCACCUCCAUCCUCUCCACCGAGGCCGUGCUCCGCUCGCUCCCCGUGCACCGCUUCCGCCGCAACACGCUCUUCGCCGACGUGCUCUCCGUCAAGGAGUUCCCCAGGAAUCAGUUCCUCAGCUACCUGCCGGGGGACUUCGACAUCAUCUGCACCCACCCCAUGUUCGGCCCGGAGUCGGCGCGCGACGGCUGGGCCGGCCUGCCGUUCGUGUUCGAGAGGGUCCGCGUCGGCGACUGCCCCGCCCGCCGAGCGCGCGCCGAGGCCUUCCUCGGCGUGUUCGCGCGCGAGGGGUGCCGCAUGGUGGAGAUGUCCUGCGCCGAGCACGACGCUCACGCCGCCGAGACGCAGCUGGUGGCGCACACCGUGGGGCGGAUGCUGGCCACGCUGGGGCUCCGGCCCACCCCCAUCGACACCAAGGGGUACGAGACGCUGCUCCGGCUCGUGGACAACACCUGCAGCGACAGCUUCGACCUCUACAACGGCCUCUUCAUGUACAACAAGAACUCGACGGAGCUGCUCCACCGGCUCGAGGCGGCCCUGGACACCGUCAAGAGGAGGCUCUUCCACAACCUCCACGACGUGCUCCGGAAGCAGCUCUUCGAGGGUUCGCCGCCGCUCAACACUGACGGCCCGGGCUCCUCGUCCGCCGCCGAGUCGUUGUCUGAUGACCGGCCGUGAUCUGGACGCCGACGACGACGACGACGACUCGUCGUAGGGAUAAUAAUGAAUCGCGCUUUAUAUCGCUGACAUCAAUCGGCCGUGGACUCGUGGUCCCUUCCAUCCAAAGACAUCGCGUAUUCGCGACGAAUCGUGUCGAGCAGCCGAGUAGGUAGUGGGUGGACAGCUAUCGUCAGUGUUGUGUAGAUCCGAUCCCCUCCCCUCCCCUCCUGUUCCAGCAAAGUGGCUGGCUGGUUCCAGCAUUCUCGGCCGCGUCGCCGUGACCUGUCGCAGCUCUUCGCGGUUGCGGUUUCUGGAAAAUGGUCGGCUAGCUCCAGCAUUUUGGUCAUGUCGUGCGCCCCCUCAGGCCAACUCCACCUCAUGACCCCAAACGGACGUUCGGUUUGUUCGAAUUUUGUCCAUUUGAAACGGCAAUGGGUUCGUGCUUGUCUGGCUCUGUCUGUUGGGUUGUGCGUGUGUCCACCGCGCGGCCGCACAUCAAAUCAUGUCCGCGUCGGACUUGAUUUAAAAAAAGAAAAACUCUAAAUAAACUCAGUUUGAAAA